UUUCCAAGAAGAGGAUGAUCUUAAAUGUGGUCUAUGGACCACGGGCGUCAUGCUCAACCGAUCAUGCUGAUUAGUCAGUCAGGUUUGUGUAACCUGCACCCAUCUCGUGAGAAACACAGGCAGUAUAGUCCCUUCGGACUCGAGCCGGCGAGAUUGUGGAACCAGACUAUUGCCAGUCUGGUUCAUCAUCUUUGGACAUAACAGCUUUCCAAGAAGCAGCUGAAUGGUCAGGUUCAUCUAGCCUGCGGUCAAGCGAUAGUGAUCUGGGAAGACAGAUUGGAAGAGGUGCCUUUAGUAAAGUGGAUGAGGGGACGCGCAAAUCUGAUGGCAUGAAGAAGUCUGGCAAGGAAAUCUACACUAAAAUACCCUCGAACCCAAGGACAUUGAGACAAACAGACCCAGUUCCGGCCGCCGUGGAGGUCAACACACCACUGAUCUACUGGCCGUCCUUCAACAUGAUGCCCAGCCGAUGCCUGACCAACGACCACCAGCGGAACCUGUUUAAUCUCCUCAUCCGUUUACAUAUAUCUCCCAAGGGUUUUUUCCCUCCUAGGACUUUUUUCCUUCCUUGCAAAAAUAUUUGGGAGGUUUUUCUCCUAGGGGGUUUUUUCAACCCGGGGAGUCAGCCGACAUUGGCUUUACAUAGCACCCUCUUCUAUACGUUACAUUAUUAAUACGCUCGCUUGUAAAGUUUAUUCAUAGCCGCUGUAUUUUGCUACUUAUAUUGUCUGUCGAAUUUGCUGUGUUUUUUUCCUGUUUCUAUUAAUGUAAAGCUGCUUUGAAACAAUUACAAAUUGUGAAAAGCGCUAUAUAAAUACAAUUUCCAUUCAAUUUUAUUUUGAGUUUGAAAGAUUUCAUGUUUUUAAUAUUUUACCUCUAUUUAUUGAUUUAAUUUAUUGUGGUUUUUUUGUUCUUCUGUCAGUGCAGCAUAUUGUUAAAUAUAAUAUUAAUGUACAUUGUAAAUACUACACCACAAAAGUAUUUUUAUAAACUUUUUUUAUUAGUUCUUGUUGUUAGUUAUUUUUUUUAUUUUUUUGCUUUAAAAGCAAUACAA